rnacentral:rRNA from 1 species
CGGCUAACUACGUGCCAGCAGCCGCGGUAAUACGUAGGGUGCGACCGUUAAUCGGAAUUACUGGGCGUAAAGGGUGCGCAGGCGGUCUUGCAAGUCAGAUGUGAAAGCCCCGGGCUUGACCUGGGAAUUGCGUUUGAAACUACAAGGCUACAGUGCAGCAGAGGGGAGUGGAAUUCCAUGUGUAGCAGUGAAAUGCGUACAGAUGUGGAACAACACCGAUGGCGAACGCAGCUCCCUGGGUCCACACUGACGCUCAUGCACCAAAGCGUGGGGAGCAAACAGGAUUACAUACCCUGGUACUCCACGCCCUAAACGAUGUCAACUAGUUGUCGGAUCUAAUUARGGAUUUGGUAACGUAGCUAACGCGUGAAGUUGACCGCCUGGGGAGUACGGUCGCAAGAUUAAAACUCAAAGGAAUUGACGGGGACCCGCACAAGCGGUGGAUUACGCGGAUUAAUUCGAUGCAACGCGAAAAACCUUACCUACCCUUGACAUGCUUGGAAUCUAAUGGAGACAUAAGAGUACCCGAAAGGGAGCCAAGACACAGGUGCUGCAUGGCUGUCGUCAGCUCGUGUCGUGAGAUGUUGGGUUAAGUCCCGCAACGAGCGCAACCCUCGUCACUAAUUGCUAUCAUUUUUAAUGAGCACUUUAGUGAGACUGCCGGUGACAAACCGGA